AAUGAACGCUGGCGGCAUGCCUAACACAUGCAAGUCGAACGAAGCCUUCGGGCUUAGUGGCGCACGGGUGCGUAACGCGUGGGAAUCUGUCCUUGGGUUCGGAAUAACAGUUAGAAAUGACUGCUAAUACCGGAUGAUGACGUAAGUCCAAAGAUUUAUCGCCCAAGGAUGAGCCCGCGUAGGAUUAGCUAGUUGGUGAGGUAAAAGCUCACCAAGGCGACGAUCCUUAGCUGGUCUGAGAGGAUGAUCAGCCACACUGGGACUGAGACACGGCCCAGACUCCUACGGGAGGCAGCAGUGGGGAAUAUUGGACAAUGGGCGAAAGCCUGAUCCAGCAAUGCCGCGUGAGUGAUGAAGGCCUUAGGGUUGUAAAGCUCUUUUACCCGGGAUGAUAAUGACAGUACCGGGAGAAUAAGCUCCGGCUAACUCCGUGCCAGCCGCCGCAGUAAUAC
rnacentral:rRNA from 1 species